UACGUAGGCAGCGAGCGUUGUUCGGAGUUACUGGGCGUAAAGAGUGUGUAGGCGGUGCUCUAAGUUCGGUGUGAAAUCUCCUGGCUCAACUGGGAGGGUGCGCCGGAAACUGGAAUGCUUGAGCGUGGGAGAGGAAAGCGGAAUUCCUGGUGUAGCGGUGAAAUGCGUAGAUAUCAGGAGGAACACCUGUGGUGUAGACGGCUUUCUGGACCAUAGCUGACGCUGAGACACGAAAGCGUGGGUAGCAAACAGG
rnacentral:rRNA from 1 species